rnacentral:rRNA from 1 species
CGUAAAGCUCUGUUGUUAGGGAAGAACAAGUGCAAGAGUAACUGCUUGCACCUUGACGGUACCUAACCAGAAAGCCACGGCUAACUACGUGCCAGCAGCCGCGGUAAUACGUAGGUGGCAAGCGUUGUCCGGAAUUAUUGGGCGUAAAGGGCUCGCAGGCGGUUUCUUAAGUCUGAUGUGAAAGCCCCCGGCUCAACCGGGGAGGGUCAUUGGAAACUGGGAAACUUGAGUGCAGAAGAGGAGA